rnacentral:rRNA from 1 species
GGCGUGCUUAACACAUGCAAGUCGAACGGGAAUUAUUUUAUUGAAACUUCGGUCGAUUUAAUUUAAUUCUAGUGGCGGACGGGUGAGUAACGCGUGGGUAACCUGCCUUAUACAGGGGGAUAACAGUCAGAAAUGGCUGCUAAUACCGCAUAAGCGCACAGAGCUGCAUGGCUCAGUGUGAAAAACUCCGGUGGUAUAAGAUGGACCCGCGUUGGAUUAGCUAGUUGGUGGGGUAACGGCCCACCAAGGCGACGAUCCAUAGCCGGCCUGAGAGGGUGAACGGCCACAUUGGGACUGAGACACGGCCCACACUCCUACGGGAGGCAGCAGUGGGGAAUAUUGCACAAUGGGGGAAACCCUGAUGCAGCGACGCCGCGUGAAAGAAGAAGUAUCUCGGUAUGUAAACUUCUAUCAGCAGGGAAGAUAGUGACGGUACCUGACUAAGAAGCCCCGGCUAACUACGUGCCAGCAGCCGCGGUAAUACGUAGGGGGCAAGCGUUAUCCGGAUUUACUGGGUGUAAAGGGAGCGUAGACGGUGUGGCAAGUCUGAUGUGAAAGGCAUGGGCUCAACCUGUGGACUGCAUUGGAAACUGUCAUACUUGAGUGCCGGAGGGGUAAGCGGAAUUCCUAGUGUAGCGGUGAAAUGCGUAGAUAUUAGGAGGAACACCAGUGGCGAAGGCGGCUUACUGGACGGUAACUGACGUUGAGGCUCGAAAGCGUGGGGAGCAAACAGGAUUAGAUACCCUGGUAGUCCACGCCGUAAACGAU